GACACCGUCCCCAGAAUCCAACACGAUGCCUGUGCAGGGGAGAGGCAGUAUGUGAGUGGAGGGGACCAGCAAGCGGCGCAAGUCGGGAUACUGCAGAGGAUUAAAAAGCGGGGCUGGAAUGUUGGAGCAAUCCUACCAGGGCCAGCGUGGGCCAUGUGUGGGCCAUGUGUGAGCGCUUACCGGUGGUACGGCCGGAAGCAUAGAGGGACAGCACCGCCUGGAUAGCCACAUACAUGGCAAGCACGUUGAAGGUCUCAAACAUGAUUUGAGUCAUCUUCUCCCGGUUAGCUUUGGGGUUCAAGGGGGCCUCGGUGAGCAGAGUCGGGUGCUCCUCAGGGGCCACACGCAGCUCAUUGUAGAAGGUGUGGUGCCAGAUCUUCUCCAUGUCGUCCCAGUUGGUGAUGAUGCCAUGUUCAAUGGGGUC
rnacentral:rRNA from 1 species